rnacentral:siRNA from 1 species
CAUCAGCACAUGAAAGGAGAGGU